ensembl:lncRNA
ACCUGGGUGCUGCUGUGAAGGUAUUUUUGUAGAUGUGGUUAACAUCUAUAUUCCGUUGGCUUUAAGUGAAGAAGUUACCCCUCGAUAAUGUAGGUGGGCUUCAUCCAAUCAGUUGAAAGCCUUCAGAGCAAAAACUGAGGUUCCCUGGAGAAGAAGAAAUUCUGCCUUAAAUCUACAGCUUCUAACCUGCCAACCUGCACUGCAGAUUUCAGACUCGCCAAGUACUGCAAUCAGGUAGGCCAAUUCCUUAAAAUCUCUCUCUCUCUCUGGAUUGAUUUUGUUUUCUUUUUAAAAUUUAGAAUCUUGUUAGCAACACGGUAGCAUCAUUAACAGAAAAAAAAAAUUACAUAGUUAACUCAAAACUAGCAAUUUUAAGAAAAUAAUUCUUCUCAUUUGAUUCUACAGGCAAGUCCAGGUGAUCCCAUAUGUAUAUCCCGAAUACCUAUCCACUGAUCUAUUUAUCAACCUAACUAAUCUCCUAGACAUACAUCUCUACCCCACCCUUCAGGGAGGCCCUAGAGAGUUCUAUGUGCCGAGCAGGGCUCCAAACCCAGCCCUGGAGCCUGGGGCCCCCAAGGAGCCACUGCUGAGCACGCCGGUGCACUUGUCCCCCCAGCACCAGACUUUCUGGCCUUCUCCCUGCCUCCCUGUUCAACCUGCCUUUGACUUCUUCAGCCUCAAGAUAGAGGAAGUCAAAUACAUGCAGAGGCUCAAGGCCCAGGGUGGCCACGGCCUGCAGGAAGAGAAGCAGCAAAGAGAAAUGUUACGCCCACCUCCUGAGUGCAGCCAGGUCCUAGCCGUUGCUUGCAUAGCUGCCUUUAGAGCUACUGGCCCAGGAAGAACAGAAGUGGUCACAGGAGAAAAAGCUGGCCUUCAGUGAAUGUGGGGUGCAUUUCCACACAUGGUACACACCCAUGAGGAAUCACGCAGAACCAAUGAAGAGCCUUCGUUCACGGCGGCGCUGUGGAUGCAGCCCUGUGGGGGAGGCCGCAGAGACAGAACCCAGUGUGAGAGGGAUUAUGGACCACGAGGAGGCGGAGUGGACCCGGCUGUGGAAGGAAUAGCAGGUGGAGACAGGCAGUUGAGGCAGACCUGCUUUUGCUUCAGCCCAGCAGGCAGCCAUGGGAAGUGAGCAGAAACUGACUUGUAGGUGGAGUGCCUCUAUACCAAAAAAUGUGCUGAGUCAGGAGACUAACCAUGGUGCCUUGUGCAAAGUCAUUUCCUUUUCACUUGUUCACCCAUUGUGUUAAAUAAUUUCUUUCAUGGUAGCUGAAAUCUGGAGUUCGAUCGGGUUUAUUUCAACAAGGUACUAACCGCUUUCUUUUCUGAUUUGAAUUAGAAAAGCAGCUGAGAAUCGCUGGUUUCCUUUGAUGCUUGCAAGAGAGAAGCCAUUUGAAAUGCUUGGGAUCCCAUGAAGAUUGACCCCCUUUUCUUGAUGCAUUCAAGAUUCAGAGUCAAAGAUUGGGGUUUGGAGAAUCCUAUGACAAAUUCUAAAGUCUAGGAGGAGAUGUCCCAUUUCUUACCCUCUGUUCCUACUCACUUUCCCAUAUGGAUAAAAUGCUAAAAUGGCAAGGGUUAGGGUUCCUAUCCUGCAGAAUCUCAGCCACUAUCACCAAUCCCCGAUAGCUCCUGUAGUGAGGAGAAGGCCAUGGAAGAUGUGUAGAGGAGGAAGAGCCCAAGGAAAUUAAUCACUUGCUUUUGCAUCCUGGUAGGGGAUUUCGCUUUGGGGUCAUUUGGAUCUUUUAGGCUUUUGAGGAAAAGCAGGUCUAAUUAUUAAGAUUGGAAAUAAAGGGAGAAAAAGUGCUGAACUUUCCGUUCUUUUUUUCCCAGUUUUAUUGAUAUAUAAUUGACAUAUAACUUUGUGUAACUUUGAG